UACGGAGGGGGCAAGCGUUGUUCGGAGUUACUGGGCGUAAAGCGCGCGUAGGCGGUGCGGUAAGUCAGGGGUUAAAGGCUGCAGCUCAACUGCAGUAAGGCCUUUGAUACUAUCGCGCUAGAGUACCAGAGAGGAUGGCGGAAUUCCCGGUGUAGUGGUGAAAUGCGUAGAUAUCGGGAGGAACACCAGUAGCGAAGGCGGCCAUCUGGCUGGUAACUGACGCUGAGGUGCGAGAGCGUGGGGAGCGAACAGG
rnacentral:rRNA from 1 species